GUGACUGCGUACCUUUUGUAUAAUGGGUCAGCGACUUAUAUUCUGUAGCAAGGUUAACCGAAUAGGGGAGCCGGAGGGAAACCGAGUCUUAACCGGGCGUUAAGUUGCAGGGUAUAGACCCGAAACCCGGUGAUCUAGCCAUGGGCAGGUUGAAGGUUGGGUAACACUAACUGGAGGACCGAACCGACUAAUGUUGAAAAAUUAGCGGAUGACCUGUGGCUGGGGGUGAAAGGCCAAUCAAACCGGGAGAUAGCUGGUUCUCCCCGAAAGCUAUUUAGGUAGCGCCUCGUGAAUUCAUCUCCGGGGGUAGAGCACUGUUUCGGCUAGGGGGCCAUCCCGGCUUACCAACCCGAUGCAAACUGCGAAUACCGGAGAAUGUUAUCACGGGAGACACACGGCGGGUGCUAACGUCCGUCGUGAAGAGGGAAACAACCCAGACCGCCAGCUAAGGUCCCAAAGUCAUGGUUAAGUGGGAAACGAUGUGGGAAGGCCCAGACAGCCAGGAUGUUGGCUUAGAAGCAGCCAUCAUUUAAAGANAACCCAGACCGCCAGCUAAGGUCCCAAAGUCAUGGUUAAGUGGGAAACGAUGUGGGAAGGCCCAGACAGCCAGGAUGUUGGCUUAGAAGCAGCCAUCAUUUAAAGAAAGCGUAAUAGCUCACUGGUCGAGUCGGCCUGCGCGGAAGAUGUAACGGGGCUAAACCAUGCACCGAAGCUGCGGCAGCGAACGUAUCACCCAAGACAACUUUACGGAGUUGACGAUUGACGGAGCGAAGCGACGUCAAAGCGUUCAUUAAAGUCGAGUUGGCUUAGGGAUACGUUCNAAAGCGUAAUAGCUCACUGGUCGAGUCGGCCUGCGCGGAAGAUGUAACGGGGCUAAACCAUGCACCGAAGCUGCGGCAGCGACGCUUAUGCGUUGUUGGGUAGGGGAGCGUUCUGUAAGCCUGUGAAGGUGGCCUGUGAGGGUUGCUGGAGGUAUCAGAAGUGCGAAUGCUGACAUAAGUAACGAUAAAGCGGGUGAAAAGCCCGCUCGCCGGAAGACCAAGGGUUCCUGUCCAACGUUAAUCGGGGCAGGGUGAGUCGACCCCUAAGGCGAGGCCGAAAGGCGUAGUCGAUGGGAAACGGGUUAAUAUUCCCGUACUUGGUGUUACUGCGAAGGGGGGACGGAGAAGGCUAUGUUGGCCGGGCGACGGUUGUCCCGGUUUAAGCGUGUAGGUGUGUGUUCCAGGUAAAUCCGGUUCACUUUAACACUGAGGCGUGAUGACGAGGCACUACGGUGCUGAAGCAACAAAUGCCCUGCUUCCAGGAAAAGCCUCUAAGCAUCAGGUAACAUCAAAUCGUACCCCAAACCGACACAGGUGGUCAGGUAGAGAAUACCAAGGCGCUUGAGAGAACUCGGGUGAAGGAACUAGGCAAAAUGGUGCCGUAACUUCGGGAGAAGGCACGCUGAUAUGUAGGUGAAGCGGUUUACCCGUGGAGCUGAAAUCAGUCGAAGAUACCAGCUGGCUGCAACUGUUUAUUAAAAACACAGCACUGUGCAAACACGAAAGUGGACGUAUACGGUGUGACGCCUGCCCGGUGCCGGAAGNGGAGCUGAAGUCAGUCGAAGAUACCAGCUGGCUGCAACUGUUUAUUAAAAACACAGCACUGUGCAAACACGAAAGUGGACGUAUACGGUGUGACGCCUGCCCGGUGCCGGAAGGUUAAUUGAUGGGGUCAGCGCAAGCGAAGCUCCUGAUCGAAGCCCCGGUAAACGGCGGCCGUAACUAUAACGGUCCUAAGGUAGCGAAAUUCCUUGUCGGGUAAGUUCCGACCUGCACGAAUGGCGUAAUGAUGGCCAGGCUGUCUCCACCCGAGACUCAGUGAAAUUGAACUCGCUGUGAAGAUGCAGUGUACCCGCGGCAAGACGGAAAGACCCCGUGAACCUUUACUAUAGCUUGACACUGAACAUUGAGCCUUGAUGUGUAGGAUAGGUGGGAGGCUUUGAAGUGUGGACGCCAGUCUGCAUGGAGCCGACCUUGAAAUACCACCCUUUAAUGUUUGAUGUUCUAACGUGGACCCGUAAUCCGGGUUGCGGACAGUGUCUGGUGGGUAGUUUGACUGGGGCGGUCUCCUCCUAAAGAGUAACGGAGGAGCACGAAGGUUGGCUAAUCCUGGUCGGACAUCAGGAGGUUAGUGCAAUGGCAUAAGCCAGCUUGACUGCGAGCGUGACGGCGCGAGCAGGUGCGAAAGCAGGUCAUAGUGAUCCGGUGGUUCUGAAUGGAAGGGCCAUCGCUCAACGGAUAAAAGGUACUCCGGGGAUAACAGGCUGAUACCGCCCAAGAGUUCAUAUCGACGGCGGUGUUUGGCACCUCGAUGUCGGCUCAUCACAUCCUGGGGCUGAAGUAGGUCCCAAGGGUAUGGCUGUUCGCCAUUUAAAGUGGUACGCGAGCUGGGUUUAGAACGUCGUGAGACAGUUCGGUCCCUAUCUGCCGUGGGCGCUGGAGAACUGAGGGGGGCUGCUCCUAGUACGAGAGGACCGGAGUGGACGCAUCACUGGUGUUCGGGUUGUCAUGCCAAUGGCACUGCCCGGUAGCUAAAUGCGGAAGAGAUAAGUGCUGAAAGCAUCUAAGCACGAAACUUGCCCCGAGAUGAGUUCUCCCUGAGACUUAGAGUCUCCUGAAGGAACGUUGAAGACGACGACGUUGAUAGGCCGGGUGUGUAAGCGCAGCGAUGCGUUGAGCUAACCGGUACUAAUGAACCGUGAGGCUUAACCUUACAACGCCGAAG
rnacentral:rRNA from 1 species